rnacentral:rRNA from 1 species
CUUUUAAAUUCUAGGAGAUCUGUUAUUUUAAAGGAUCUGAGUGCUGACCAAAGAAGUUUUAGCAAUUCUCGAAAACUAAGAAAACGACCGACAAAUUCCAUUGCCAGCUGUCGCGGUUAUUAUGGUGGAUCAAAAAGAAACAAAUCAAACCACUCUUAAAAGAAAGAACACGGUGAAAUGUUUCUUUUUCAUUAAAAAGGAUUUAAACAACAAGGAUCAGAUACCCUUUUAGUUUAACCAAAAUAAACAGAAAAUAAUACUGAAGGAACUUUGCUAGUGUACAUCACUUAGGGGGAGCUGGGAGUUAAAGUGAUAAUCCUCAUAAAAUUUCCCUACACAAUAGUUUCCAAAUCGCUGUCCUAGCCUUUUCAAAAUUGGGAUUUAGGUUAUACCUUAUAGGUCAAGUGAGAAAGAAUUCACUUUAGGGACUUCCUGGGUCACAUUAACAAAAAAGCUGUACUUAAAAGUAACUUUUAAAGUAAAGCUGAAAUCAUUAAGUAUAGGGACAAAUCGCUCGGUAACCCUGAGAAGGGUAAGCCGCAACAAGGUAAGAGUACUGGAAGGUGUUCUU